GCGGUGGUAGCCCAGUCGGGUAAGAGCACGCUUCUCACGCCAUAGAUGCGGGUUCGAAUCCCGGCGCUCACAUGCA
rnacentral:tRNA from 1 species